UACCUGGUUGAUCCUGCCAGUAGUCAUAUGCUUGUCCCAAAGAUUAAGCCAUACAAGUCUAAGUAUAUGCUGUAUAGUUGAGACUGCAGAUGGCUCAUUAAAACAGUUAUAGUUUAUUUGAUGGUCCCUUACUAAUUGGAUAACCGUAGUAAUUCUAGAGCUAAUACAUGCAUAAAGCCCUGACUCACGAAAGGGUGUGUUUAUUAGAUAAAACCAAUUGCCCUCUGGGUAUUAGGUGAUUCAUAGUAACUUCUCGGAUCGGAUGUCUUCGCGACGCCGACAGAUCAUUCAAAUUUCUGCCCUAUCAGCUUUCGAUGGUACGGUAGUGGCCUACCAUGGCGGUGACGGGUGACGGAGAAUUAGGGUUCGAUUCCGGAGAGGGAGCCUGAGAAACGGCUACCACAUCUAAGGAAGGCAGCAGGCGCGUAAAUUACCCAAUCCUGACGCAGGGAGGUAGUGACAAGAAAUAUCAAUAGAUUGAACACAGUUCUGUCUAAUUGGAAUGAGUACAUUCUAAACCCCUUAACGAGAACCCAGUGGAGGGCAAGUCUGGUGCCAGCAGCCGCGGUAAUUCCAGCUCCAAUAGC
rnacentral:rRNA from 1 species